rnacentral:rRNA from 1 species
GACAGAGGGUGCAAACGUUGUUCAGAAUUACUGGGCGUAAAGCGUGUGUAGGCGGCUUUGCAAGUCGGAUGUGAAAGCCCCGGGCUCAACCCGGGAAGUGCACUCGAUACUGCGAAGCUUGAGUGUCGGAGAGGUUGGUGGAAUUCUCGGUGUAGAGGUGAAAAUUCGUAGAUAUCGAGAGGAACACCGGUGGCGAAGGCGGCCAACUGGACGAACACUGACGCUGAGACACGAAAGCGUGGGGAGCAAACAGG